CCCUGGAGAGUGGUUAGGACACAGUGCUCUCACCGCUUGGGCCUGGGUUCAAUUCCCGGCCACUGGGGU